CAGGUGUUCGCACAAAUACUGGAGAACGCCGAGAAGCUGGGCCUGAAAGAUCUGCGGCCACUCACACGCCACAGGACACCCACCGGGGAGCCGUCAGCCCGCCACCGGCAUC